AUGCAGUCCUAUCUUAAUCGGGAAGUCAUCGGUGUCGACAUCACUUGUUCGAACACUUGUCACAACAUUAUUGUACAUGUCCUUGAUGAGGGUAAUGUACUUUGUUGGGACUUUGUGUUUCUCCAAGGCCCACCACAUGACAUUCCGCGGUAUCUUAUCAUAGGCCUUCUCCAAGUCAAUGAACACCAUAUGCAUGAAACCAAACUGAUUUUUUGUCACGCUUGUCAUUCUUCUUAA
rnacentral:rRNA from 1 species